rnacentral:rRNA from 1 species
UACGUAGGGGCUAGCGUUGUCCGGAUUUAUUGGGCGUAAAGCGCGUGUAGGCGGCCAGGUAGGUCUGCUGUGAAAACCCGAGGCUUAACCUCGGGACGCCGGCGGAAACCAUCUGGCUAGAGUCCGGAAGAGGAGAGUGGAAUUCCUGGUGUAGCGGUGAAAUGCGUAGAGAUGUGGAGGAACACCAGUGGCGAAGGCGACUCUUUGGUCUGUAACUGACGCUGAGGCGCGAAAGCGUGGG